rfam:Ictidomys tridecemlineatus contig013328, whole genome shotgun sequence.
GGGGUUGUGGCUCAAUUGUAGAGUGCUCACCUAACAUGUGUGAGGCCCUGGGUUUGAUUCUCAGCACCUCA